AUUGAACGCUGGCGGCAGGCUUAACACAUGCAAGUCGAGCGGAGAGAGGUAGCUUGCUACUGAUCUUAGCGGCGGACGGGUGAGUAAUGCUUAGGAAUCUGCCUAUUAGUGGGGGACAACAUUUCGAAAGGAAUGCUAAUACCGCAUACGUCCUACGGGAGAAAGCAGGGGAUCUUCGGACCUUGCGCUCAUAGAUGAGCCUAAGUCGGAUUAGCUAGUUGGUGGGGUAAAGGCCUACCAAGGCGACGAUCUGUAGCGGGUCUGAGAGGAUGAUCCGCCACACUGGGACUGAGACACGGCCCAGACUCCUACGGGAGGCAGCAGUGGGGAAUAUUGGACAAUGGGCGGAAGCCUGAUCCAGCCAUGCCGCGUGUGUGAAGAAGGCCUUAUGGUUGUAAAGCACUUUAAGCGAGGAGGAGGCUACUUUAGUUAAUACCUAGAGAUAGUGGACGUUACUCGCAGAAUAAGCACCGGCUAACUACGUGCCAGCAGCCGCCGUAAAAC
rnacentral:rRNA from 1 species